GAGUGAACGCUGGCGGUAGGCCUAACACAUGCAAGUCGACCGGCAGCACAGUAAGAGCUUGCUCUUACGGGUGGCGAGUGGCGGACGGGUGAGGAAUACAUCGGAAUCUACUUUUUCGUGGGGGAUAACGUAGGGAAACUUACGCUAAUACCGCAUACGACCUACGGGUGAAAGCAGGGGAUCUUCGGACCUUGCGCGAUUGAAUGAGCCGAUGUCGGAUUAGCUAGUUGGCGGGGUAAAGGCCCACCAAGGCGACGAUCCGUAGCUGGUCUGAGAGGAUGAUCAGCCACACUGGAACUGAGACACGGUCCAGACUCCUACGGGAGGCAGCAGUGGGGAAUAUUGGACAAUGGGCGCAAGCCUGAUCCAGCCAUACCGCGUGGGUGAAGAAGGCCUUCGGGCUGUAAAGCCCUUUUGUUGGGAAAGAAAAGCAGCAGGUUAAUACCCCGCUGUUCUGACGGUACCCAAAGAAUAAGCACCGGCUAACUUCGUG
rnacentral:rRNA from 1 species